rnacentral:rRNA from 1 species
AGUGAACGCUGGCGGUAGGCCUAAUACAUGCAAGUCGAACGACCGGACAGUAAGAUUGUGCCCUUACGGGUGGCGAGUGGCGGAUGGGUAAGAAAUACAUCAGCAUCUACUUUUUCGGGGGUGACAACGGGGAGACACUUACACUAAUACCGAAUAUAUCGUACGGGUGGAAGCAGGAGAUCUUGGCGCCUUGCGCGAUAGAUAUAGCUGGUGCCGGGCCGCAUUAGCUAGUUGGUAAGGUAACGGCCCACCAAGGCGACGAUGCGUAGCCGAUCUGAGAGGGUGAUCAGCCACACUGGAACUGAGACACGGUCCAGACUCCUACGGGAGGCAGCAGUAGGGAAUAUUCGGCAAUGGGCGAAAGCUUGACCCAGCCAUGCCGCGUGAGUGAUGAAGGUCUUCGGGUUGUAAAGCCCUUUUAUUAGGAAAGAACAACUGUGUAUGUAUAUCUCGCCGUUCUGACGGUACCUAAUCAGAAAGCCCCGGCUAACUUCGUG